rnacentral:rRNA from 1 species
AUUGAACGCUGGCGGCAGGCCUAACACAUGCAAGUCGAGCGAGCGGCGGACGGGUGAGUAAUGUCUGGGAAACUGCCUGAUGGAGGGGGAUAACUACUGGAAACGGUAGCUAAUACCGCAUACCAUCAGAUGUGCCCAGAUGGGAUUAGCUAGUAGGUGGGGUAAUGGCUCACCUAGGCGACGAUCCCUAGCUGGUCUGAGAGGAUGACCAGCCACCCGGGAACGUGGACACGGACCAGAAGCCUACGAGAGGCAGCAGUGGGGAAUAUUGCACAAUGGGCGCAAGCCUGAUGCAGCCAUGCCGCGUGUGUGGAGGAGGCCUUCGGUUUGUAAAGCAGGUUCAGCGGUGAGGCGUUACCCGCAGAAGAAGCACCGGCUAACUCCGUGCCAGCAGCCGCGGUAAUUC